AUUUUGUUCUCUCUUCUCUUCUCUCGCUAGAGAAACCCACCGAAUUUCUCUCCUUCGCCGAUUCUAGCUUCCCGAUCCUUCCUUUGCUUCUCCUCCGCUUCCGCCGAUUUUCUCUCCUCCGCUUCUCCUCCGGCUUCAUCUCUUCGAUCCAUUUCACUUCUCCAUUUCUUCUGUUUAGAUUCGAUUCCAUCUCUCCUCCGCCGUUUAGGGUUUUUCGCCUCUUUCUCAACUCUUUCUCGAAAACCUAGCUCCAGCUGCGGUUAAGGCCACUAAUAAGCCUUUGAAGAAAGGGAACUCACUUGGAACUCUACUUUGCAGUUUGUGGCAUUCCCUCUACCUGCAAGAGUGAAAAAAAUCACAGAAUUGGUCAAUAACUUUCAAGAACCAGAUAAUGAAGUGGAAGAUGAUGAAUCUUUCAUUGACAUGGUGUCUUUCUAUUGGAGUCUUGCUGCAGCCUAUGUGACAAUACUUCUUGGGAUACUCGCAUCUCUCUCAUUUGAUUCUCCUUGGAGCAUUGCGUGGUUCUACAUCUUAUAUUCUUUCAUCCACAAGAUACUACACGUUUCUUGAAUUUGGCAUCAAUCACAGAAAGGGGUUAUCAAACAAGCAAGAAAUAUGCAUCAGACAAAUAAAAUGGUUCUGGAGGAACCAAUAUCUAAGUUUCAUCAACUCACUAAAAGACAUACCACAACAUAUAGAUUUUCAACGGAGCCAAGGUAAUUGACUACAAGCGACUAAAUUAUUUUUAUCAUCAUGUUUUUUUUUUUCAGUUUUUUUGAAUUUUAUGUUUUAUUUUGCUUAAGUAUAUUCUACGUUUUUUUAUCGUAAUAUUACCUUUUGUAAUCUUAUGUUUUAAUAUAUUUAUUUUUGAUUUUGUA